rnacentral:tRNA from 1 species
GCGCGCGUGGCGUAAUUGGUAGCCGCGCUAGACUUAGGAUCUAGUGCCGUGAGGCGUGGGGGUUCGAGUCCCUUCGCGCGCA